rnacentral:rRNA from 1 species
UACGGGGGGGGCAAGCGUUGUUCGGAAUUACUGGGCGUAAAGGGCUUGUAGGUGGCCAACUAAGUCAGACGUGAAAUCCCUCGGCUUAACCGGGGAACUGCGUCUGAUACUGGAUGGCUGGAGUGUGGGAGAGGGAUGCGGAAUUCCAGGUGUAGCGGUGAAAUGCGUAGAUAUCGGAAGGAACAUCAGUGGCGAAAGCGGCUUCCUGGACCAGUACCGACGUUCAGGCACGAAAGCGUGGGGAGCAAACAGG